GGGGACAUGGCUCAGUGGUAGAAUGCAUGCUUUGUGUAUGACAUCCUGGGUUCGAAUUCCAGCUGCUCCCC